AUUGAACGCUGGCGGCAGGCCUAACACAUGCAAGUCGAGCGGAUGAAGGGAUCCUGCUCCUGGAUUCAGCGGCGGACGGGUGAGUAAUGCCUAUGAAUCUGCCUGGGAGUGGGGGAAAACGUCCGGAAACGGGCGCUAAUACCGCCAACGUCAUGGUGGAGCAAGCGGGGGAUCUUCGGACCUCACGCUAUCAUAAGAGCCUAGGUCGGAUUAGCUAGUGGGGGGGGUAAAGGCCUACCAAGGCGACGAUCCGUAACUGGUCUGAGAGGAUGAUCAGUCACACUGGAACUUGGACGCGGUCCAGACUCUUACGGGAGGCAGCAGUGGGGAAUAUUGGACAAGGGGCGAAAACCUGAUCCAGACAUGCCGCGUGUGUUAAGAAGGUCUUCGGAUUGUAAAGCACUUUAAGUUGGGAGGAAGGGCAGUAAGUUAAUACAUUGCUGUUUUGACGUUACCAACAGAAUAAGCAACGGCUAGCUUCGUG
rnacentral:rRNA from 1 species